CCCACCCUCUGCGCAGCGGCACAAGUCCUUGUGGCACAGCUUGCUCAGCAUCCCGUCCUCCUUCUCCGGGUGGUAGAACUGGGUGCAGGUCUCAUCUGAGCGCAGAGGAGAUGGGGAGGCAUCAGGGCACCAGGCCUCCAUCCCAGAGAGCACGCCCCGGGCUCAGGUUCCCAAUGCUCCUGCACCUCAGACCUGGAGGUGCCAGGUCCCUGACCCUCAGAACUUUACUGUCUGAUCUUUGGGACCCUCCAACCCUGGGGUCUUCAAAUCUGCAACUUGCAAAUCCUUGAGACACCCCCCCCCAUUCUCAGAUCCUUAGGACUCUCAACUCUCAGACCCCAGGACCUGUAUCCUAGCACCUCUGACCCCAGCCCACAGAUCCCUGGAGCCCUCAGACCCCCAACUUGCAAAUCCUUAAGACCCUCAGUCCUCCAACUCUUAAGCCUAUCAGAGUCUUGGACCCCAACCCUCAUAUUGCUGAAAUUCUCCGACCCUCAGCUCCCAGAUCCCUGGGACCCUCAGAACCUCAACAAACAGAACCUAGGGAGCCUCAGAAACCCUAAUUUUCUGGGGCCUUCAGACCUUUGAGACUGUUCCACCCCCAACUCACCCAGGACCCACAACCCCUGGGGCACUUAGGCCCCGGGCCCAGCUCGCCUGCUCACCGAGGUUGUAGUAGGAGUAGACUUUGACAGAGCCAGGCUGGAUGAGCCCCACAUUGAAGAACUGGUGGAUUUUGAAGGACAGACAUUCUUCCUCGGAGUGCGAGAGCUAAGGGAAGAAGAGGCCAGUCAACGGGAGACACAAAGGGAGUCUGGGACAGGAUAUUGGCAGCUGGGGCCGUGGUGGAGAAAUCAAAGGACCAAGGAAGGUUAUGUGUCCAGGGGAGAAGAGGAAGGGCCAGAGGGGAAUGGACAGCUUGGCAAAUCUGUUUUCAUUUUUUUUCUUAGCCACACAGCUGGGCUACAUUGCUCAUCCCCGCUUUCAGUUAGGUGUGGCCAGCGACUGGGCUCUGCCCAGCAGGUUUCCAGGCUGCGCCUGCUCCGGUUUGAAUGUGGUUUGUUCCCCACCCAAGCUCAUGGUGAAGCCUCGUUCCCCUUGAUACACUGAUACACUGAGGGAUAUUAUCAGGCCACGUGGGAAUGGAUCAGAUCUCGAGAAACUAGAUCAGUUACUAUGACAGCACAUUGUCAAAAAGCAAGUGUGGCUUUCUGGGCUCACUCUCCUUAGCUCCCACCAUGUGACCUUUCUUCUGCACUUGCCUCCAGCACGAUGCCAGCAGGCCUUUAUCAGGGGAUGAACAGUUGAGGGCCACCAGAUCUUGGACUUUGAUCCUCUGAAACUGUGAGCUAAGUAAACCUCUUUUUUUAAUAAAUUACCCAGCCUCGGGUAUUGUUGGUACAGCAACACAAAACAGACUAAGACAAUGUCUAUGAAAACAUCAUGUGCACAAGCAGGCAUGGUGAUGCAUUCCUGUCAGCCCAGCUACUCAGGAACCUGAGACAGGAAGAUCACAAGUUUGGGGGUAACCUGGGCAACUUAGUGAGAUCCUGUGUCGAAAUAAAAAUUUAAAAAGACUGGGGAUGUAGCUCAGCUAGCAUGUUCAAGGCCCUGGAUUCAAUCCCUAGCACUGAAAACAAAAAUCCCAUGCACAAUCCUCCCCCCACCUCUCUCUCAUUCUGCAGAGGACUCCCAAGACCCUAGGCAUACACAGACACAAGAUGGGAGGUCCUUGGGUCACAGAGUGACUGCAUGGGUCGGAAGGCCUAUUCCUUAGCCCCCAUACUUAUGGACUUUAUUUUUAUUUUUUUGAGAUGGGGUCUUGCUAUAUUGCCCUGGUUGGCCUUAAAGUCCUAAACUCAGCAAUUUUCCUGCCUCCGCCUCCUGCAUACCUGGGAUGACAGCCAUGUGCCACUGUGCCUGGUUCUGAUUGGACUCCACACAAGUGAGAAAUACAAGCAUCUUGAGCCACCGGUGAGGUUGGUCAGGGUUGAGAUGUUUAUAAAAGGUGGUCCUGGGUCCAUACCUUUGUUUACAAUUGCUUUCUCCACCCACCCAAUGACACAGACCUUGUCCCCAAAUAACCUGACCUGGAGGCAGAGAGCCAGGGAGAGGAGAAGGCCAGCCAGGUAAGAGCCAAGAUGCCCACAGGAGUCCCCCAGGGGAGGAUGCUGCCUCACCUUGUCCAGGUAGAUGAUGAGGGUGUUCUUGUUGGCGAAGGCUUUGUCCAGCUCAUACUUGGAGAUGUAUCUGUCCACGCCGGUGGACAGCUGGGGAGGGGUGGGUGAAAAUCUCUUCUAGAACCCUUCUCUCCCCAUAGCCUCCUCCAGACCUCAGGCUCCUCCCCAGUGGCCCAGCCCCUCAAGCCGCUCCUACCAGCUUGAGGUCAUCUGUGUCAGGAACGAAGCCGGUCAUCAUGGCUAUGUCCAGGAUGGACAUUGUGGCAUCCUGGUCUCCUAGGUACCUAGAUAGGGGCAGGGAGAAGCACGUUGAGUCCCAGCGUAGGGGCAGCCCUCAGGGUCUGUCCCUGAAUGAGAGGUUCUGACCAGAGAUCAAAGCUUUUGAUUCCUCUCCAGCACCUAAAUGGAUGUUCAAGUUUAGGAAACACUUCUCCAAGGGCAAAAGACGGAAAUGUAGUUUAAUGGUCAAGGUCAUGAGGGUUUCAGGCUCUGGAUCCAAGCGCACGGGUUGAAAUCCCAGCUUUCUAUAAAAUCUGAUGAGCUCUUCAGUCCCCUCUGUGCCUCAGUUCUUCUAUGAAAUACAAACAAGAAUAUGAGCAGUCCUCAUUUUGGAAAAGCCAGCUUCUAUGACUUCAUGAAAUAACACUGGCUCCCCAAUGAAAGAGUUCAAAUUUGAGCAUCAGUGUAGAUGCUAUGGCUUGGAUCUAAUAUGUCCUUAAACCUCAUAUGCUUAGGUGUUGGUCCCUGGUGUCCAAAAGGGAAGCCUCUGGGAAAUAACAGGAUCGUGAGGGCUCUAACUUCAUCAGUGGAUUAAUGGAUUAAUCCAGGGGCAUGGCUUUUACUAGUAUAUUUUGUCCCCAGCCCUUUCUUUGCUGGCUCUCUGCCAUCUCUAUGUUUCCAGGCCGCCAUGAGGUGAGCAGUUUUCCUCCGCCAUGCCCCUCUGCCAGGAUGGAAGCCCAAAGACCUGGACCAAGACAGAAAGAUGGAAAAGGAUAUCCCUGAGUCCUGAUCCAGAAAGACAUUAGAAUACAGGUGGAGACGAGGGGACAGAAAGGGCUCUGAGCAUGUGUGAGGUCCUGAGUCCCAUCCCCAGCACCUCUGGAAAACGGGGACUCUUACUAAAGGUAGAGAUGAACCCAGUGACCCAGCUUCUUACUUAGCGCAGAUCCCAAGGAUCAUGGUGCUCUUGGCAUCCUGAGGCUUCUUGACUAGAAACACAGAAGACAGAAAGAUGAGGGAGGGCAUUCCUAGGUCCUAAUCCAGAAGGACGUUAGAAUAGAGAUGGAGGAGAGAGGACAGAAGGGACCUAUAUUUCUCUUACCUGUAUCAGGGGCUGGACUGACUGUGACCCUGAGGUCAAACUUCUUGCAGGUGACUUUGCCUUUGACUUUGGCGUGGUACAUCGUCACCACCUAGAGAGAUGGGGGGUAGACAGAGCCUCAUAGGUCUUGAGAAGGCCAAGGGCAGGGAGGAGAGGGUCCCUGGCGGGGACAGGGGCCAAGGGAAGUCUGCCAUUCCUUACCGACAACGUGCCUUGACCUUUCCCUUUAGCUGUUAAUGUGAAACCCUCGUUUUGCUUGGUCUGCAGAGAAUGAGAGAGAAGAGAAGGUAUGAGGAGCCAAGUCUCCCCCGCCUGAUGGGUACAACGGUAGUCAUCUGCCCUCCCUCCUGCCUCCUGGCGAGCCCUGGUGGGUGUGAUGGUGACAGUGGUGAGGGCUUGGCCCAGUGGCUGUACCUCUUCUGACCGGAGGAGGCCGCCUAUGUCCCAGAGGAGGCGAUGCUUGACCAGGGAGCUGCGGCUGGGCAGCUGCAGGGCCACCUCCAUGUUCAGGUCCUUGUGGUCAGGAAUGUCUGUUUGGUAUUGGGCCAAGGCUUGGAACACCAUGAAGGUGGCCUGGAAUCCAUGAGAGAAGGAGGGUGAGGUAUCAGCUUGAGAGACUGGUUAGGACCCAAUGGGGGGUGGAGAUUCGGGCCAGAGUUAGGGCAAUGAGACUAUGCCUUGAAGCCAUCAUAGGGGUGACGUGGGGAAGUGCUGGAUACUAAGCAUUUGUCCUGGAACUCUGUGACAGAGAGAGGCUCGGACUCCCGACAGUAAGUCUGUGGCCAAGAACCCAAUGAGUAUGAAGGUGAGACUCAAGGUCCUUAGACAUCGAGGACAUGUUCUAGAACCCUCCAAGGUACAGAGGCUUAGACAAGAACUUGGAGAUGCUGAGAGCAUAGCUAGCACCCACCAGAAAAUCCACCUCUUAGACUGAAAGCCUAGAAACACUGACAGUGUGGUCUAGAACCAUCCAGAGGAGAGAGUCUUGGACCAGGGCUUAGGGACCCUGAAAAGUGUCUAGAAUGUACUCAUUAAAAGAAAAGAAUAAAAUUGAAGCCCAGGAACAUUGACUCCAAAAGUAAUACUGAGAAUCUGACUGAGAGGCCUCCAGAAAGAAAGGUGGUCAAGCUGGAGGCUGAAGUUAUUGAGAAGUCUAGAAAGCACUGGGCGGGUGGGGAUAGUAUCCCAAGGGAACGGAGAACCUGCUCUAGAACCCACCCAUGGGACAGGGAGCCACCGAGAGCCUAGUGAAACUAGACACCUGUUCUAGAACCCGUCAAGGGGAGAGGGAGGCUGAACCUGGACCCCAAGAACAUAGUAUGUGACCAGGAGAGCACAGGGGCUCUGAACAAAGUGUGGAGCAUCUAGAAUGUAGUCUAGAACCUGGAGAUGGGCUUCUCCACUUCCCCUCCAUCCUCCUGGCUUGUGGGACCCAGGAACUGCCUGUCUGAGUCUCCUCUGGGAGGCCAGUGGCAGGCUGAGGUGCACAGUGAGAUGCCUGGGGGUGGGGCCCUUGCCUGGGUGGAGCCAUAGCCGCCGCCAUAAUAUCUCUGCUCAUUGAGCCAGCGCGCAACGGGAGGCACAGAGUCAAAGUCUCUCAGCAGCAGCAGGGCCAGGAGGGCGUAGGACGUGGCUUCCACACUGUACAGCUUCUGACCAGCCUCCUCCCAGCGGUUCUUCUCUACAAAGAGAACACCCCCGGCCCCAACACUUGCUGUCUAUCCAUCCCAGGUGUUGCUCAGGGAAUGCUCCCGGAGAGACUCAAACUAGACCGCUAGGUAUUUCGGUCUCUCAGCUGACAUUCAAGGCUCUCAGUCUGCUGACGCCUGCCUCCUCUUUUGGCAACUCUCAGGCCCCUUGGUAGCACACGCUCAGUGCACAAGCAGUGAAUGAGCACUGCAGGAGGCCUGCUUCCCUGGCAUGGCACAUCUCAGAGCCCUGCACCCCACCUCUGCUAGGAGCAUGCAUCCCAAUGUGGCUUGGGGCCAUCCAUCCCUGCUCAGCUAAGAGCCAAGCAUCCUAGCUCAGGAUGUCCUCCCUUAAACCCCAGGCACGCAUCCCCCUUGAGGCUGCCCCUACCUGUGGCCGCACUCCUAAAUUUAACCAGGAGGGGGCCGCCCAGCUUGUCCAGCUGGGCCAGGGCAUAUCCAGCAAUGGCCACAGUGUAUGGUCUCUGCAGGUUUGCGUAAUUGGAUGCAAUGUAAUCUCCGGCUUUAUUGAUGCUGUUUGGUAGGCUCUGUAGGAAAAAGGGGCAGAUCUCUUUAGCCUCCUGUAGCGCGAUGAGCACGAAGGCGGUGAGGGACACUUCAGCCUCCUGGGUGUUCCGGAAGCCGCCCUGGAGGGGAGCAGAAAGCACGUGAGUCACCACGUGUCUGUGCAUGGCAGUCAAGGUCCCUGCAGAAUCGGGGAUCUGGGCAGGGUAGGGGCUCCUUCUGGGGCUCUCCUUCCACCAGGAAGGUCAAACUUUUAUUCUAUUUUUUAUUUUUCUAUGUACUGAGGAUUGAAGCCUGGGCCUUCACACUGAGCUCCAUCCCCAGCCCUUUUAACUUUUUGUUUUGAGACAGGGUCUCGCUAAGUUACUAAAUUGCCCAGGCUGGGCUCAAAUCAAUGAUCCUCCUGCCUCAGCCUCCCAGAGUGCUGGGAUGACAAGUGUCUGGGGGUCAAACUCUUUAGUAUGAAGUGAAUCGAUCAUUUUUUUCAUUCUGCAAUUUGUUAAAUUGUAACAGCUUGUUAAAACUCAGAAUUUCCGGUUCAAUAACAGGUCUGAGGUCCAAUCUCGGAAGGUACAUUUCUGAUAACUUUGUGGCUAAUGUCACUGCUGGUCGGAGGACCACAUUCUGACAACCCCUACUCUAAGGAGUUCUGUGUUUAUUUAGACCCAUGGGCAGCACUGAGACUCUCUAAGAAGGGAUGCUAUAGGUUUGCAUAAAGCUUCCCAUUGGCUCUGGCAGGUGCCUGAGACUUGACAAGAGGAGGAGCCCGGAAACAGGGACCAGGGAAGUGGCUUUGGAAAGGUCUGCUUAGGGAAGGAAGGCUCUGUAAUGGGGAGAAGGGGACAGUUUGAAGCCACCUCCAGACAGUGGAGUCCGGCAGGGGUUGGAGAUGGCUUGGAUUGGAUUGGAUUAGAUGUGAGAGGAUCUCUGUGCUUGGUUUAAUAAAAUUCUUAUUUAUAUCUGAACAGGAUGCCAAUUUUCAUUUGGCAGUGGGCUCUGGAAAUCAAUUUCUCUUUCUGUUUGUCUUCCUUGGCAUGAAGGGAUUUACCAGGCAAAAUUUGAAAAGCACACUCAAAGAAAUAGAGCGCAGGGCUUCAAGAGAGGAGCACAGUAUAGACUAGAGCUGGGAAUAUUUAUGUUUUUGGCAAUAGAAAUCUGUGGCAUUUGUGAACCUAUAGAAAGUUUGGAUUUGGUUUACAGGAAAAAGUGAUGGCCACCAUACAAGUAGAAAGAUAGUGGCUCAUUUUACAGGGGAAAGGCAGGGCCCAGCCCAUUAUAUAUGUAUGUAUUUUAAAGAUGGGUAAUCUAAGCCGUUUUGCCUAAAAACAUUCUUUGAAAUCUUUGAAUGUAUCUUUCUGUCUUUCUUGUACAGGGAUGGAACCCAGGACCUUCCCUCUGAGCUACAUUUCCAGCCCCCUUUUUUACGUUUUACUUUGUGCCAAGUUCUCACUAAGUUGCCCAGGCUGGAUUCGAACUUGCAGUCUUCCUGCCUCAGCCUCCCAGAGGGCUGGUUUGACAGGCGUGCGCCACCACGCCCAUCUGGGUCUCUGGUUUUUGCACCGUUGAAGUGACCUUUAUUUCCCUGGCCCCACCUCCACGCUCACACAGUGAACUGGACGGUGGGCAGAUCCAUCCUGGGCCGCUCAGGCGCCCCUCCCCCACUCUGCCCCAGAUCCCAGCUUCUUACAAUCAUUUCUUGGUGUAUCACGGGCCCGUCCUCCUGGAAGACUCCAUCAGGCUUCUGCUUCUCCAGAAUGAGCCAUUUCACAGCCCCACAGAGGACCUGGGAGUCGAUGGCGAUGAGGUUGACCGCCAGAGAGAAGACCUUCACCACAUAGGCUGUCAGCCUGAGGAUG
rnacentral:lncRNA from 1 species